CGCCUACGGGAGGCAGCAGUGGGGAAUAUUGCACAAUGGGCGAAAGCCUGAUGCAGCAACGCCGCGUGAAGGAAGACGGUUUUCGGAUUGUAAACCUCUUUUGCCGGGGAGCAAGCGUGCGUUCGUGAACGCGCGUCGAGAGUACCCAGAGAAAAAGCAUCGGCUAACUCCGUGCCAGCAGCCGCGGUAAUACGGAGGAUGCGAGCGUUAUCCGGAUUUAUUGGGUUUAAAGGGUGCGUAGGCGGGAUGCCAAGUCAGCGGUAAAAAUGCGGUGCUCAACGCCGUCGAGCCGUU
rnacentral:rRNA from 1 species